rnacentral:misc_RNA from 1 species
AUUUGUGCCAACAUUGUUUACCUGAAUGUAAGAGAUCAAGUACAUUAAAAUCUCUGAUAUCUAUAGAAAAGACUAACACUCUUUGAGUGAUGAUCAUCCAUAUAAGCACAUAAACAUUAUCUACUCCUUAAGAAAUUCUAGAGACAUUCAAGAUUACAUCUAAAGAACACAAACACACACAGAGGAAUGAUAUGUGAUCAAUUGCCUUCAUUGGAAAGCCAAAAUUGAACAAUUACUGACAUAACAAAUGCCAAGAAUAUUGUUGCAUUGUGACAAAAUUAUGGGCUUAAACAUCAUUCAUUUAUUACAACACAAGAAACCAUUCUUUGAAGCCAUGCAAAAUGAUCAUAACAGUCUAGUAAAGUUUUUCCCCUUUCUCCUUGAGCUCUUGAGAAUAACUUCCUGGUUAGUUUAAACUGUAGA